AGUAACGCGUGAGCAACCUGGCUAUAAGAGGGGAAUAACAGUUAGAAAUGACUGCUAAUACCGCAUAAGCUGAUAAAGUCGCAUGAUUUAGUCAGAAAAGGAGCAAUCCGCUUAUAGAUGGGCUCGCGUCCGAUUAGCUAGUUGGUGGGGUAGAAGCCUACCAAGGCGACGAUCGGUAGCCGGACUGAGAGGUUGAACGGCCACAUUGGGACUGAGAUACGGACCAGACUCCUACGGGAGGCAGCAG
rnacentral:rRNA from 1 species